rnacentral:snoRNA from 1 species
ACACGUUUGUCUACACUCUGGAUCUCGGCUUGGAUGUGAGACUUGAAUUUUGAGCAUUUCCUUGUGGAACCCCUUUGGGUUAGUACAUGAGGUUGUUGACAAUUCAUAGUGGUCUCUAAUCCAAAUCAUGUGCUGAGCUCCUAUUUAGAAGCAAACAAGAUAAACUCGUCACUUACUCACCGAUGUUUCUAUGCAGAAUUCUGCGAUAGAUUCCUUGGUCCAUAGAAUUGGCAUACAU